CGGACGGGUGAGUAAUGUCUGGGAAACUGCCCGAUGGAGGGGGAUAACUACUGGAAACGGUAGCUAAUACCGCAUAACGUCGCAAGACCAAAGAGGGGACCUUAGGGCCUCUUGCCAUCGGAUGUGCCCAGAUGGGAUUAGCUAGUAGGUGGGGUAACGGCUCACCUAGGCGACGAUCCCUAGCUGGUCUGAGAGGAUGACCAGUCACACUGGAACUGAGACACGGUCCAG
rnacentral:rRNA from 1 species